CCCCUCUCAGGGUCACACCUGGAGAGUUUCCAGUAUUCUACCAGUCUCUGUUCCAGGAGGGAGAGUCAAGCAGAAGCCUACCCAUUCCAUUCUUAGCUUGGCCAGUAACUAGCGAGUGGAAGAAAUUCUGCUAUAAGU